AGAGUUUGAUCAUGGCUCAGGAUAAACGCUGGCGGCGUGCCUAACACAUGCAAGUCGAACGCUCUCGGGAGCAAUUUCGAGGGAGUGGCGGACGGGUGAGGAACACGUGGGAACCUACCCCUUGGUUCGGAAUACCGGCGAGAAAUCGCCGACAAUACCGGAUGAGGUCACGAGAGAUCGUGAGCAAAGCUCGGGAGACC
rnacentral:rRNA from 1 species